rnacentral:lncRNA from 1 species
GCAGUGCACCCCCGCCUUCCUUCUCUGCUCUCAUACUGGAUCCGCCGCCAUGCCAUGGAUCUAGUCGACCUCGACCUCCCGGUAGACCACUGCUUCCACCAACCGUCAGGAUUGGGCACGCCGUGCGGCUCAUUUUUUUCAAACUUUUGAUGCGUGGUAUAGUUUGGCGCACAUCUUUGAUCUCCUUUUUAGUUCGUAUUUUAUUGCAUCCAAAUUGCAAAAAAGUAUUUGUUCCGAUGCAGUUCAAUUCAGUGGGGUGAUAAAAAAGAAAAUGCAGUUUGGGAAUCUGUUUUUUGCUCAGAUUUUGUUUUUGUGCAGUUUGCUGAUGACACCAUCGCCUUGCAGUUCACUGG